rnacentral:antisense_RNA from 1 species
CGUAAGUGUAGCCUUCGCCGAAGAAGUACUUGUUGCGCAGUGGGGCCCGGUCCACCGUGUGCUCGUUGUACAGGCCCUUCUCAGCACGGGACACCACCUCGUCAAUGCGGGCCUCGAUCUUGGCGCACUCGUCCUGGCUGAAGAGACGCAUCUGGCGGAUGCCGCUCUUCACCUUGCGCGCCUCCUCCUCCUUCUGCAGCUGCUGCUCCUCAUAGUCGCUGCGCUCGGGGUCCGAGUCCUCCUGAUACUUGCGCUUGGCCCCGGACACAGGACGGAGUUUCGCUCUGUCGCCAGGCUGGAGUGCAAUGGCGCGAUCUCGGCUCACUGCAACCUCCGCCUCCCAGGUAUAAGCGAUUCUCCUGCCUCAGCCUCCCGAGUAGCUGAGACUACAGAGAUACCAGGGUUGUGUGCACACAGAGGAAAGGCCAUGUGAGGACACAGUGAGGACAGCUGUCUGCAAACCACCAAAGAAACCAAACCUGCUGACACCUUGACCUUGGACCGCCAGCCUCC